GACGAACGCUGGCGGCGUGCUUAACACAUGCAAGUCGAACGAAGUGGCGAACGGGUGAGUAACGCGUAAUCAACCUGCCCUUCAGAGGGGGACAACAGUUGGAAACGACUGCUCAUACCGCAUACUGAAGGAGGGGAUUGCGUCUGAUUAGCUAGUUGGAGGGGUAACGGCCCACCAAGGCGAUGAUCAGUAGCCGGGCUGAGAGGAGGAACGGCCACAUUGGGACUGGGACACGGCCCAGACUCCUACGGGAGGGAGACGGGGGGAAUCUUCGGAAAUGGGGGGAAACCUGACCGAGCAACGCCGCGUGAGUGAAGAGGGUUUUCGGAUCGUAAAGCUCUGUUGUUAAGGAAGCGGUACUUAACCAGAAAGGGACGGCUAACUACGUGCCAGCAGCCGCGGUAAUAC
rnacentral:rRNA from 1 species